rnacentral:sRNA from 1 species
UGUUCGCAUGUGACAUCAUUGGUGGUGUAUCGCUCUAUCAACCAAUGGGCCGGAAUUCAAGUAAAUUAGCCAGAGUUACAGAUAAACAAGAAACAAAAAGGCAUCAUCUUUGAAAUGAGCAUGACACAUUGAAAGACACGAUACUGUACACGCUACCGACGCACUGCGAGAUGGCCAAGGCAGCUCCUAUUUUCCUUUUACUCUGCGUGCUUGUCGCUAACGAUGUCCAGACACAGAAGAUUAUUAGCUUCACUUCCGAAUCCAGAUACAAUGCCUGCAGUGAGCCGAACGUGGCCAGGGAAUUCUUAGACACUAUUUAUCUAUCUGCGGUUCUCGAUCCGGAAGAUAAAGAUCUGAAAGAUUGGAGGCUUCUUGUGCUGUAUGAAAAGACGACGAUGGGGGAAGUUAUAGUAAGUUAUAAAGCCCUGGUGCUG